GAUGAACGCUGGCGGCGUGCCUAAUACAUGCAAGUCGAGCGAACAGACGAGGAGCUUGCUCCUCUGACGUUAGCGGCGGACGGGUGAGUAACACGUGGAUAACCUACCUAUAAGACUGGGAUAACUUCGGGAAACCGGAGCUAAUACCGGAUAAUAUAUUGAACCGCAUGGUUCAAUAGUGAAAGACGGUUUUGCUGUCACUUAUAGAUGGAUCCGCGCCGCAUUAGCUAGUUGGUAAGGUAACGGCUUACCAAGGCAACGAUGCGUAGCCGACCUGAGAGGGUGAUCGGCCACACUGGAACUGAGACACGGUCCAGAGUCCUACGGGAGGCAGCAGUAGGGAAUCUUCCGCAAUGGGCGAAAGCCUGACGGAGCAACGCCGCGUGAGUGAUGAAGGUCUUCGGAUCGUAAAACUCUGUUAUUAGGGAAGAACAAAUGUGUAAGUAACUAUGCACGUCUUGACGGUACCUAAUCAGAAAGCCACGGCCAACUACGUG
rnacentral:rRNA from 1 species